rnacentral:rRNA from 1 species
AGCGGCGGUCAUACAUACUGGAAAGCACUGGAUCCCGUUCGAUAUCCGAAGCAAGCCUGUAGCGGCACUGUCAGUACUAUGUUUUGAGAUAACACAGGGAUUCUGGGCACUGCUGUUU